GCCGCCUCGGCCUUAAAAAUAUAGGAAUGGAGUGCGGGGUUCCCCCGGUCUACCAGCUCCUGUUCCGCGCCUGCGAAGAAGGAAGCUUCGAGAACGCCAGGCGGCUGCUGGAGCCGACACCGCGAGACGGAGACGACGAAGAGGAUGAGGAGAAGAAGAAAGAGGAGGCGGAGCGCGGCGAGCAGACGACGGGCCCGGACUUCAGGGCUCCGCAGGUGCCCGUCGACUGCACGGACGACGAUGGCAACUCGGCGCUGCAGUUCGCGGCCGGUCACGGCCACGAGCACCUGGUGCGGUUUCUGCUGAUGAAGGGCGCCUCGGUGGACAGCCGCAACCGCUACGGCUGGACGCCGCUUAUGCAAGCGGCGCGCUUCGGGCACCUCGACGUGGCACGCGUGCUGCUCGAGAACGGCGCCGACGCCAACGCCGCCAACAAGCUGGGCGCCAGCGUGCUGACGGCGGCGGCGCGCGGCGGCCACGUCGGCCUGGCGCUCGCCCUGCUGGAGAGCGGCGCGUGCCCGGAUGCCGUGGGUGGGGGCGGCCAGCAGCUGGCGGGGCACGAGCACGCGCCGGUCGCCCCCGCCUUGACGCCUCUGAUGGUGGCCGCCCAACAUGGCGCCGAGCCGCUGGUCAGGAUGCUGCUGGAGUGGGGGGCUUCCCGCCCCGGAGCCGUGCCUGUCGGCCCCGCCGGCGGCUGGAACGCCCUGAUGCUGGCGGCCCUCAACGGCGAGCUGGCCGUGGUCCAGCAGCUGGUCGAGGGAGGCUCGGACCCCAAUCAGACCAACGUGGGUGGGAUGACCGCCUUCGAGAUCGCCUGCUCCUGCAGGCAGAAGGAGAUCAGAGACUACCUGGAUUCCAAGACCACUACUCGGCCCAAAUCAGAUGAAGAGAAAAGGAGACCAGAUAUAUUUCAUGCAUUAAAACUAGGAAGCUAUCAGUUGGUGAAGGAGAUUCUUGAUGAAGAUGAAUUUCAGGCCAAUGUCACUAAUGCAGAUGGUGCUUCUCCAUUAAUGAUUGCUGCCAUGACAGGUCAACUAGACCUUGUGCAACUUCUGAGUGAGAGGAACUCUGAUAUUGACCAGCAAGAUGGUGUACAUGGAUGGACAGCCUUAAUGCAAGCUACUUAUCAUGGGAGUAAAGAUGUUGUGAAGUACUUGUUGAAUCAAGGAGCAGAUGUCAACCUCCGUGCCAAAAAUGGAGUAACUGCAUUUGAUCUUGUAAUGCUGCUAAAUGAUCCAGAUACAGAACUUGUGCGACUUCUGGCAUCAGUCUGCAUGCAACUAGAUAAAGAGAAGAACAAGCAAAAAUCCAAGACAAUGCCUCGCUCAAAAAGUAAAACAUCCUUAACGAUUCCUGUACCCCCAGAAGACAAAGGGGGAUUAAAGUCUUGGUGGAACAGAAUGUCCAACAGAUUUCGAAAACUGAAGCUAACUAGGACACUCAGACAUGGUUUUUCCACAAAUCGGCUUGCUCCUUUUCUAGAUGAAGCUGAAGUAGGAUUGGAUGCAACAAUGAAAGCUAAUCUGAAGGAUGACUGCAAUCAUUCGGCAGUGAUCAUGUCUACAGCUAAUACUGAUCACUCGGUUUGGGCAUCAAAAAGAAAGGACCGUGAACUUGAUCAAACAAUUGGAGGAAAAGGCGAUGUUCUUCUCUCAACUAUGUUGAGAAAUGGUGCACCAUUCACUCGUCUUCCAAGUGACAAGUUGAAAGCAGUUAUUCCUCCAUUUUUGCCUCCGUCCAACUUUGAACUAUGGAGCUGUGACAGGGCACGAAUAAACAAAGAGGGCAAAUUGGAUCAUAUUGGGCUAUCUGUGCCACGUCGCCUUGCAAAACCCAAUUUCAACAGCAGUGGGAACUCUGACAUUACUUCUGUGAGCAGAAUGGGCAGAUCUGUUAAACUUCCUCCUAUUACAAAUCUUCCGAGGUGCCCAGCUUCUCCCCCAAACUCGGGACAUUUCAGUUAUUCUCCACAUUCCUCUGGUGGAUCUAAUGGAGUGGUUGGCAUCAGUAGACAUUGCAUCAGUGAACCACAUAGCCGCUCAGGAGGAAGUUCAGAUAAUGUCUUGUCACAAAUUGCUGCCCAAAGACGAAAAGCAGCAGGCUUGCCUGAACUAAAAACAAACAGGUCUGAGAUUUUGCCUCACCCAAUCUCAAUCGAAACUAGCCUUCCUGAACUGCCAGUCUCACCAACUGAGAGUAACUGCAUUUUACAGAAAUGUGGGAAACAGCGUCCAUCAUCUUGUACAUCCUCAAAUUCAAAAAGCACCUCUCCUACUCUGACUCCAUCACCGUCUCCUACCCCUAAAAGUCCACAAGGCGAAUCAUCACUGUCCUCGUCUUCACAUCAGCAUUCUAAGAGCAGUGGUGGGUCCAGCAGUGGAACCCUCACAGAUGAAGAUGAAUUAUCCAGUAUCCUAAAAAGACUAUCAUUGGAAAAAUAUCAACCUAUAUUUGAAGAACAGGAGGUGGAUAUGGAAGCAUUCCUAACACUAACUGAUGGUGAUUUGAAGGAGUUGGGUGUAAAGACGGAUGGUUCAAGACAACAGAUCUUGGCUGCAAUCUCAGAGUUAAAUGCUGGAAAGGGACGUGAGAGGCAGAUUCUACAGGAAACUAUUCACAACUUCCAUUCUUCUUUUGGAAGUAGUGCAAGCAAUUCUCGUCAACAGAAUAUCUUGCAGUAACAUUGGAGUUUUGACAACUGCAGAAAACAUCCUCAGAUCAAAGAAAAGGACUUAAAGAUUUAGACACGUGUAUAUAAAACACAAAAUGGCACCAAGCUCCACCACCAUCACCAAUGACUACAAUGCAAGACUUUACUGCAACAGUGUUCAUCUUUCCCUCUUCUAAUUACCCUCCGCUGCUCGACAACAGCUGGUUUCUGUAAUGGAUUCUGACAUCUGUCACCAGCUUGGCUCCACCAUUGCCACCAUUCCUGUCCAAGCUGGAGCCAAAGGCCUGGUCUCAUACCUUCUGCUUUCCCUCCAGACAUUGCUGAAGUCUCUGCGACCACAGUGCCAGUGCCAGCCAUGGAUCUGGGGCUGCAUGGGGCCCAGCCCUAGCCAACUCCCCAGUGGGAAAAAGAACUGUACAAAGACAAUGAAACAGCCAUGCCACCAAAUGAAGAAGAUGUAUAAAAUAAUAUGGAUGCAGCCAGCUCCAUUGCACAGUGCCGACGAGUGCCCAAGCCCUGGGAUGAGAAACCAAACACUCCCAAAGCAAUUGCCGCCAUCUUGAAGAGGCGAUAACUAAUCAAUUCAUUGCAGCAACAGUACACAAAUUAUCAAGUCAGCGCAUUAAAUUAUAAAUCUUAAAUUAUAAAACCAGCAUGUCAAUCAAUAAAAUGGUAGUUGCAAUCUUAAAAGCACAAAAAUGAAUUAGACAGAAUCAGAGUCAUCAAAUCAUAUAACAUGGAAACAAACCCUUCAGUCCAACAGUCCAUGCUAACCAUAAUCUUAAACCAAUCUAGUUCCAUCUGCAUGCACUUGGCCCAUAUCUCUCCAAAAGUUUCUUAUUCAUACAUUUAUUUAGAUAUCUUUUAACAUGUAUCUGCACCAACUUUUACCACUUCCUCUGGAAGUUCAUUCCACACAUAAACCACGGUGCAAAAGAAAAAUCGCCCAUCAUGUCUUUUUUAAAAUCUUCCUCCUCUCACCUUAAAAAUAUGCCCCUUAGCCUUGAAAUCCCCCACCUUAGGGAAAAGCCACCUGCCAUUAUCUAUACCCCUGAUGAUUUUAUAAACCUCUAUAAAGGUUACCAGUCAACCUCAGACUCCAGGGAAAGCCUAUCCUUAUAACUCAAACUAUACAUUCCUGGCAACAUCCUGGUAAAAUCUUCUGAACCCUCUCCAGCU